CGGGGCUCAGCUGGGUGGAAUUGAGGAGCUUGUUCUCCUUUUUCCAUUUCAUCCUUCGGUUCUGGAACCAGAUCUUGAUCUGGCGCUCCGUCAGGCACAGCGCGUGGGCGAUCUCGAUCCUGCGGCGCCUGGUUAGGCAUCCUUACAAGGCGAAGAGCUUUACGGAAGACUCGACUCAUCCCUUCAGGACCUUGGAGGAAAAAGCAUCCAAAUCCAACUGUCUAUGGCUAACAAACUGAAGGUCUGCUCCACAGAAAGGACUUCCGAAAGGAGACUUUUCGAUGCAUCUUGCCCACAAUAGAGAACUAGAACAUCAAUAAACCAGACAACUAGAAAAUCAAAAGGUAAACCAAAGAAAAAAGCAAGGACUGGACACGAUUUCGGACUAUUCAGUAAGAUUAUUUUUAAUUGUUCUUUUCCCUCUCUCUACGCAUAAUAAUCACAGAAAUUACAAAUAAAAAAAAGGCUCGGCGGACGGAUUAAAUUAUUCGCUAUCUAUCAUAUACAACAUUGUUUGUUUUUGUUUUUUUUGUUUACUCAAUACAAUAUUAAUUUCAGAUGCUCUAGUGACAGCAAUAAAGGAAGUGGUCCAUUGUCGAACAUCUAAAAAUAUACACCAACAAAAAGGGGAAAAAAAUAAACGAGCAAAAAUUAACAACAACAACAAAAAAUACAGCACCAAUAAACAGACGAAGAGGGGAGGAGAAGAGAAAGAUAGGAAUCUCACAGAAUUAUGUACAACAUUAAUCUCAGCUAAGCCUUGUGUUCCCUUCAUACAUUUGGACCCCACGUUUUCCUAAGCAAAAGUGCUAACCACGUCCACAUUUUUCACUUCAUUUAUUCAUUUAUUUUUAAAUUACGCAAAGAAAAAAGACUCCCUUUUUUAAAAAACAAGAAAAUGUACAAAUACUUGACUAUAUAUAUAUAUAUAUAUAUAUGAAGACCCACAUAAGGAAACAAAACAUCUAUUUUAUUCUAAAGAGAUCUAAUAGGUAGAGAUUUAAUAGGUAGGUUUAAUAUCCAUUUUUUUGUUGUUGUACAAAAACAAAAAGAGGAGAGAAAUGUUAAUCUAUAGGUAGUUUUCCAAGUGUCGAGAGAAAAAAAAAGAAGAAACCAUCUUUUCAGCUGGCUGAGACAUUUCCUUCCUUGUUUAAUGUAUAGUCUUUAUUGGUAUUUGUGUUAUCAAUUUCUGGUUCUUUCUUUCAUUUUCUGGACAGUAUGGUCAGGUUUUCUCCCUCCCGCUCAAGACGGCCAUCUCUCACACAUUCUCUCGUUCUCUCUCUUCCCUUCAC